rnacentral:rRNA from 1 species
CACCGGCGCCACGAGUGGGGAUCGCGUUUAUUGGGCCUAAAGCGUCCGUAGCAGGUUUUGUAAAUUCUUUGUGAAAUCAUUUCGCUUAACGAAAUGGCGUGCAGAGAACACUGCAAAACUUGGAACCGGUGAGGAGUGAGAGGAAUUCUUUGGGGAGCGGUAAAAUGCUAUAAUCCUUAGAAGACCACCUGUGGCGAAGGCGUCUCACUAGAACGGAUUCGACUGUGAGGGACGAAAGCUAGGGG